UAUUGGUAUCGGAUAGUUGCUCCAGCUAAAACUGGGGAGGAAAGUCCGAACAUUCACCCGGUAGUAGAUUUUGGAGUCGCACUUUGUGCAAGCGGCUAGCCGCCAACUCCAAAAUUCACUACCGGGAAGGGUAGCAGGUAACGCCUGUCGGGAGUAAUCCUAGAGAUGAGAACAGAAAUGACCCGGUUAAGUCCGGCUGAAACAGCAAAAUUCUUACCUGAAUGCAAGGCCGUGUCCAGCACCACUUUUGGUUUGUAGAAAAUUAUUGAUCAAAAGUGGUGCUGGAAGUGCCGCUAGAGGUGGCGAGUGAUCGCCAUCGCAGAUAAAUAACUAUCAACGCGAAUUUCCGCGAAUAUGAUCGAAUGCCACGAAUAUUCGUAUCAUUCGAUGCAAUUCGUAAGAUUCGCAUACAGAAUUCGGCUUAUAGAUACCCACAAAAG
rfam:Candidatus Zambryskibacteria bacterium RIFCSPHIGHO2_01_FTLL_44_22b rifcsphigho2_01_scaffold_7496, whole genome shotgun sequence.